AGAGUUUGAUCAUGGCUCAGGAUGAACGCUGGCGGCGUGCCUAAUACAUGCAAGUCGAGCGCGAGCGUAAGGAGCUUGCUCCUUACAAUCGAGCGGCGGACGGGUGAGUAACACGUGGGCAACCUACCCUUUAGACUGGGAUAACUACCGGAAACGGUAGCUAAUACCGGAUAAGUUGUAACGACACAAGUUGUAACAAUGAAAGGCGGAUUUAUCUGUCACUAAAGGAUGGGCCUGCGGUGCAUUAGCUAGUUGGUGAGGUAGUGGCUCACCAAGGCGACGAUGCAUAGCCGACCUGAGAGGGUGAUCGGCCACACUGGGACUGAGACACGGCCCAGACUCCUACGGGAGGCAGCAGUAGGGAAUCUUCCGCAAUGGACGAAAGUCUGACGGAGCAACGCCGCGUGAGUGAAGAAGGGUUUCGGCUCGUAAAACUCUGUUGUUAAGGAAGAACACUUUAGGUAGUAACUGACCUAGAGAUGACGGUACUUAACCAGAAAGCCACGGCUAACUACGUGCCAGCAGCCGCGGUAAUACGUAGGUGGCAAGCGUUAUCCGGAAUUAUUGGGCGUAAAGCGCGCGUAGGCGGUAGAAUAAGUCUGAUGUGAAAGCCCCCGGCUCAACCGGGGAGGGUCAUUGGAAACUGUUUUACUUGAGUGCAGAAGAGGAGAGUGGAAUUCCAUGUGUAGCGGUGAAAUGCGCAGAGAUAUGGAGGAACACCAGUGGCGAAGGCGGCUCUCUGGUCUGUAACUGACGCUGAGGUGCGAAAGCGUGGGGAUCAAACAGGAUUAGAUACCCUGGUAGUCCACGCCGUAAACGAUGAGUGCUAAGUGUUGGGGGGUUUCCGCCCCUCAGUGCUGCAGCAAACGCAUUAAGCACUCCGCCUGGGGAGUACGACCGCAAGGUUGAAACUCA
rnacentral:rRNA from 1 species